rnacentral:rRNA from 1 species
CUCCCCUACGGGACGCAGCAGUGGGGAAUAUUGCACAAUGGGGGAAACCCUGAUGCAGCGACGCCGCGUGAGCGAUGAAGUAUCUCGGUAUGUAAAGCUCUAUCAGCAGGGAAGAUAAUGACGGUACCUGACUAAGAAGCCCCGGCUAACUACGUGCCAGCAGCCGCGGUAAUACGUAGGGGGCAAGCGUUAUCCGGAUUUACUAGGUGUAAAGGGUGCGUAGGUGGCAGGGCAAGUCAGAUGUGAAAGCCCGGGGCUCAACCCCGGUACUGCAUUUGAAACUGUCCAGCUGGAGUGCAGGAGAG